GGCUCGAUGGUGUAGUUGGUUAUCACGUUCGCCUCACAUAUCCGAGUGCGCGAAAGGUCGCGAGUUCGAGCCUCGCUUGAGUCA